GAUGAAGAACGUAGCGAAAUGCGAUAAGUAAUGUGAAUUGCAGAAUUCAGUGAAUCAUCGAAUCUUUGAACGCACAUUGCGCCCGCCAGUAUUCUGGCGGGCAUGCCUGUUCGAGCGUCAUUACAACCCUCAGGCCCCCGGGCCUGGCGUUGGGGAUCGGCGGAAGCCCCCUGCGGGCACAACGCCGUCCCCCAAAUACAGUGGCGGUCCCGCCGCAGCUUCCAUUGCGUAGUAGCUAACACCUCGCAACUGGAGAGCGGCGCGGCCACGCCGUAAAACACCCAACUUCUGAAUGUUGACCUCGAAUCAGGUAGGAAUACCCGCUGAACUUAAGCAUAUAAUAAGCGGAGGA
rnacentral:misc_RNA from 1 species